GACGAACGCUGGCGGCGUGCCUAAUACAUGCAAGUAGAACGCACAGUUUAUACCGUAGCUUGCUACACCAUAGACUGUGAGUUGCGAACGGGUGAGUAACGCGUAGGUAACCUGCCUGGUAGCGGGGGAUAACUAUUGGAAACGAUAGCUAAUACCGCAUAAUAUUGAUUAUUGCAUGAUAAUUAAUUGAAAGGUGCAAUUGCACCACUACCAGAUGGACCUGCGUUGUAUUAGCUAGUAGGUGAGGUAACGGCUCACCUAGGCGACGAUACAUCGCCGACCUGAGAGGGUGAUCGGCCACACUGGGACUGAGACACGGCCCAGACUCCUACGGGAGGCAGCAGUAGGGAAUCUUCGGCAAUGGACGAAAGUCUGAACGAGCAACGCCGCGUGAGUGAAGAAGGUUUUCGGAUCGUAAAGCUCUGUUGUAAGAGAAGAACGGGUGUGAGAGUGGAAAGUUCACACUGUGACGGUAUCUUACCAGAAAGGGACGGCUAACUACGUG
rnacentral:rRNA from 1 species